rnacentral:lncRNA from 1 species
GGGAAGGGGGCAGCCCCGGAGCCCCCUCGAGCGUGGGCGAGGGAAGCCCGCGGGGGUCCUCGGGCCCGCCGUCACGGAGGGUCUCGGGCCCCCCGCCCCCCGCCCCGGGCGGAGCCCCCUCCCCCGCCCCCGGCCCGCCGGGCCACGCCGGGCGCCGCCGGGCGCAGGGCUCCCUGUGUUAGUUGGGGUCGCUUCCCGGGCGCGCGGACGCGCGGGGGGGGCUCGCCGCGCGCGGGGACCGGGUCCCAGCGCUGGCCCAGGCCCGGCCCUAGGCGGGGGGGGCGGCCUCGCGCCCCCGCGCCCCCGCGCCGCCGACCCCGGGCCCCGCAAAAGAGAAAUGUGGCGGCGGCGCGGCUGCACCCGGCGCCGUUUGGGGCGGCCCGCGGGCGCGGGGGACGGCGCCGGGGACCCCGGCCGGCGCUGUCGGGAAGCCCCGGGAGCCGGGCAGCGGCGCGGGCCGCCGCCGGGGCCCGGGGCGCCCGGGGCCGCGCGGAAAGGGCCGGUUUGGACAGCGGAAGAAACACAGAUGGCGGCGGCGCGGCGCCAUUCCCGGCCGGGAGCAGGCAGCCAGCAGCCCAGUCCUCACCGCGGUCCGCCCGCCGCCGCUAAAUACCCGGAUGCGCCGGCGGCCGCCUGAGAGAGCCAGACGCCGAGCUGGGGAGCGGCCGAGCGCAGCGCAGCGAGCGGAGCCGAGCGAGAGUCCGAGCCCGAAGCGGAGCCGGAGCCGGGCGCUGCGGAGGCCGAGCCGGGCGGAGCAGCCUCGGGCACCCCGACCCACCGCCGCGCCGCUCGCAGCCAGGGGGGCCGGGCCCAGGCCGCAGCCCGGCGUCCCCGGACCCCCGAGCCCUCCGGGGAAGCCGCUGCAGCGCGGGGGGGGGGACGCGAGGGGACCCGCCGACCGGGCUCCCGAGCUCCGUUAGGAAGGGAGGCGCAGGACGCCGAGGCCUGCCGGGGGCCCUGGUCUGAGAGCCGAGCCCCCCGAAAGGGCGGCGGAGCCCGCGCUCCGGGGCCGCGCCUGGCGCUCCCUUGCCAGCCACCUCCCCCUGUGCUCCCCUAGCGGGGCGUGCUUCUCCAUCCCAGGGAGGACUCGUCUCCCCAAGGGUGACCCGGGGACGCUACGCGGACAGAGCCGAAGCGAGCCCUCAGCAUGACGGAGAACUCGGCCCCGGCUUCCAAGCCCAAGAAGGCGGCCACCGCCAAGACUCCGGCCAAGAAGCCCAAAGCCGCGGCCAAGAAGGUGAAGAAAAAGGCCGCGACCCCGGCGAAGAAAGCCAAGAAGCCCAAGACUGUCAAAAGCAAGCCGGUGAAGGCGUCGAAGCCCAAGAAAGCCAAGCCGUCGAAGCCCAAAGCCAAGUCCAGUGCCAAGAAGUCGGCCAAGAAGAAGUGAAGGCGAAGUCCUUGUGGACGCUUUCUGGCGCUCCUUCUGUAAAUAGAUGUCGCCUAUCCCCGGUCCCCUUUCUAUCGCGACUUUGUAAUGAGACUGAACUUUUAUUCCUCGGAAAUUGUUAAAUAAUUCCUAUAUUCUUAACCGAUCAAGCGGGAACAGUCCCAUCAGCCAAUCUCCAUAAUCAUGAGACUGUCCUUAAUUUUUGUUUUGUUAACUUGUUUUUUAAGAUCUUUCCGAUGUCAUGGAUUUUAAGUCGGGGCGGGGGGGGG